rnacentral:rRNA from 1 species
AAUGAACGCUGGCGGCAGGCCUAACACAUGCAAGUCGAGCGAAGUCUUCGGACUUAGCGGCGGACGGGUGAGUAACGCGUGGGAACAUGCCCUUUGGUGCGGAAUAGCCCCGGGAAACUGGGAGUAAUACCGCAUGUGCCCUUCGGGGGAAAGAUUUAUCGCCAAAGGAUGGGCCCGCGUUGGUUUAGGUAGUGGGUGGGGUAAUGGCCUACCAAGCCGACGAUCCAUAGCUGGUUUGAGAGGAUGAUCAGCCACACUGGGACUGAGACACGGCCCAGACUCCUACGGGAGGCAGCAGUGGGGAAUCUUAGACAAUGGGCGCAAGCCUGAGCUAGCCAUGCCGCGUGAUCGAUGAAGGCCUUAGGGUUGUAAAGAUCUUUCAGUGGGGAAGAUAAUGACGGUACCCACAGAAGAAGCCCCGGCUAACUCCGUG